CCAUUGCGUCCUGACGUGGCAGCGGCACCAGAGACACGUAGCUGUUCAGAUAGACUGGAGACUGCAGCUGCGCAGCUGACGGCCAGGAUCUCCAGCAGGACACAGAGCAGCAGCAGCAGCAGAUUCAUGACUGAUGAUGGAGACUCACAGACGAACAGAAACACACUGACGACGGCUCUGCUUCUGCUGCUCGGAUUCCUCACCUGCGGAAGAAAGCUUCACCUCCGCAUUAUCAGGUUUCCUAGUUUCUAUUUCAGUCUCCAAGGCCCCAAUGUCGUCUGAGAACACGGACAAUAUAUAAUUGAGACUCGCUUAACCGAAAACCCUGUGAUCUUUUGUCUUGGGUCUGAUUUUGGGAGGAUGAGUACACUGUAAAAUCACUGGAUCAGUAGUAUCAGUACACUUUUUAAAAAAAAAGCUGGGGUCCACACAAUUGAUUUGAUAAGUUUUUACAAAUUUAAGUGGAUUGCACAUAAAACAAGUUUCUGUGAAUAAAAACUGAAGAGUCA